GGAUAUGUGUAGGGGUUCUCUUCGCCCUUGGACAAGCCCAUGUUUUCUCUUGAGCACACUACUCUCUCUCUCUCUCAAUAAAAUUUGUUUUUCUUCAAAAAAAAAAAUAGACAUCACAGGCAGAUCUAGGGUAGUGGGUUCCAUCCCCAGGGAAGAAAAAGUACAGAGGCCCCAAAGAAAUAAACUGAAGACUAGUGUUGGUUGCUGAGCCUGCUGGGUACAAGGAGCAGGUGGGAAAGGAAGCCAGAACUGGGGCAGGAACUGGAAGCCACUUUGGGGCAGAUCCUGGGCAGCUGAUUGAGUGACUGACAACUGCUCUCUGGGCCUUCUCAGUGGAUUCCAGAAUGAUCGCCACCCACAGAACCCACUGUCUAUGCACCUCUGCCUCUGUGGUUCUGGAGCAGGCCCUGGGAGAGACUGAUCCAGCCACUGCGACCCGCAGCCCAUAGGUCCUGAUUUUUGAGAGUUAUUACACAGCGACAGAAGUGAAAGUGUGGCACCCAGGCAAGAGAGCUACUACAGCCGAUAAGGAACUCACCUUGCACAUGGCUGCCCAAGUUUGAUCCCUCGCACACUGUCAGGAGUAAGCCUGAGGACUACCAGGUCUGAGAGAACCUGGGCCCUCCAUGACAUAAAUUUCUUUCACGUUCCUUGUCUCAGUGCCUCCGACUGAACAAACAUUUAUGCAACAUCUGGCGCCCAAGCAUGUAUGCCCAAAGUCUGAAGAGUCAGAAGAGGCUCCUCCGUAUGAGCCUGGUCCUUUGUUCCCAGAGAGGAUGACAAAGAACGUUUCUGGUGUCCCACCAAAAGGCUCAAACUUCUCCAUGAAUCUGAUCAAGAAGAAAUAGAUGAAACAGCUAUGAAAAAUUUCAGAUGAAAAAACUUUUGGAUUAAUGAUCUGAAUCUGGACCAGAAUGCACUCCCUCAGGCUAGAUGCCUUCCAAUAACACUGCAAGAGGUGACUCCAAGAUAGGCAGAAGUUAGGGCCCUGAUGAACCGAGCUGAGAAGAGCCUGAGUAGAUGUUUGAAUGCUGGUGCCUUUUCAUCGACCAUGGAAGGAGAAUUCAACGACUGGAGUGCGUUGUCAACUGAUCAUCUAUCUCCUUCGAUGGAUCAAGAGAUUCCUUGGCCUGCUCAAUCGCUGCUAUCAUGGGGAUCAUUGCAGUGACAAUAACAACUGCCAUGGCAGACUUAGCUCUAAAGCAAAGAACGUAGACUGUGGAAUUCCUCCAGAAAUGGCGUGAGACCUUUGGGAAAUUAUGGACUACUCAAGGACAAAUUGACUCCAAACUGCAGUGUGAAUUGGCUGAUGUGCCUAGAAAUGUUACUUUGCUUGGUGAGUAUUUAGCUAGUCUCCGCUGUCAGAUGUCUUUAAAAUGGGAUUGGAAUACUGCUUUACUCUGUAUAACACUUAUGCUAUAUAAUGUGACUGAGUUCUCAUGGAAUAAGGUUAAAAAACAUCUCAAUGCAUAAGGAAAUAAUAGCUAGAAUACUGGAUUUGUAAAUUCAUGGUACCAUUUCACUCAGGAAGCACUUCCUGUAUUCUCCUCUUUUGUUACUAGCCCCAAUAUCACAAAACUGU